rnacentral:rRNA from 1 species
UGGGGAAUUUUGGAUAAUAGGCGAAAGCCUGAUCCAGCAAUGCCGCGUGUGUGAAGAAGGCCUUCGGGUUGUAAAGCACUUUUGUCCGGAAAGAAAUCCUUGGCUCUAAUACAGUCGGGGGAUGACGGUACCGGAAGAAUAAGCACCGGCUAACUACGUGCCAGCAGCCGCGGUAAUACGUAGGGUGCAAGCGUUAAUCGGAAUUACUGGGCGUAAAGCGUGCGCAGGCGGUUUGCUAAGACCGAUGUGAAAUCCCCGGGCUCAACCUGGGAACUGCAUUGGUGACUGGCAGGCUAGAGUAUGGCAGAGGGGGGUAGAAUUCCACGUGUAGCAGUGAAAUGCGUAGAGAUGUGGAGGAAUACCGAUGGCGAAGGCAGCCUCCUGGGCCAAUACUGACGCUCAUGCACGAAAGCGUGGGGAGCAAACAGGAUUAGAUACCCUGGUAGUCCACGCCCUAAACGAUGUCAACUAGUUGUUGGGGAUUCAUUUCCUUAGUAACGUAGCUAACGCGUGAAGUUGACCGCCUGGGGAGUACGGUCGCAAGAUU